rnacentral:rRNA from 1 species
GUUUUUUUUUUUUUUUUUUCCCCCUUUUUUUUUUUUUUUAUAUAAAGAGGGGGCAUUAUGACUGUGCGAAGGUAGCAUAAUUAAUUGCCUUUUAAUUGAAGGCUUGUUUGAAUGGUUUGACGUAGUAAUUUAAAAUAUUUGAGGUUUUGUUGAAAUUAGUAAUGAGGGUACAGAAUCCUUUUAAAUUAAUUAGACGGAAAGACCCCGGGAUCUUUUAUUUUGCCUGGGGCAGGUGUUAGUUUUUCACUAAUAUUUUGUUCUUGUGUUUUGGAAAAUUGGUUAAGUUACCCCGGGGAUAACAGUGUAAUAGCUAAAUAGAGAUCUUAUCGAGUUAGUUGUUUGCCACCUCGAUGUUGACUUGGGUUUUAUCUUGGGCGCAGUAGUUUGAGUAUUAGGUCUGUUCGACCUUAAAAACCUUCAUGAGUUGAGUUAAGACCGGUGUGAGCCAGGUCGGUUCUUAUCUAUUAGUCUGACUUAUUAGUACGAAAGGACCAUAAGUCUUUUUAUUAAGUAUGUAGCUUUAAAAGUCUUAACUUUGCAAAAGUUAUUGUGAAAUAGAGUUAUUUCCGUACUUUAUAUGUUUAACUAUGGCAAUAGGAAGUGUUUGUUAUGUUAACUGCAUAAAAAAUGUUUUUAUUAAUUUAACAUAUAUUUGGUUAUUAUUGAAUUAGCAGUUAGUCUUUUAUUAGAAUAGACGUUUUAUUAAGAAUAUAGCAUAUAAAGGGGAUAGGACACAGUGCCAGCAUCUGCGGUUAAUCUGUUUUCUUUGCUUUUUUAUGGACUAAACUUGAGUAUAAAUAUGUAAGUUUAGGUGAAAUUUGCUUAUUUUAUUAUUUAAUAAUCAGUUAUAAAUAUAUAGUUUUUAAUGACAGGGAUUAGAUACCCCAUUAAUUAAUUAGUUUAUCGUGUCUUAGUUAGAAACUAAAAUAGUUUGGCAGUAAAUGAAUCCUAUCGGGGGAAGGUGUGUAUAAAAAGGGGCCAAAAAAGGGGGCGGA